rnacentral:rRNA from 1 species
CUGCGGAAGGAUCAUUACAGUAGUCACCCGGGUUGCCGCAAGGCCUCUCGGGUAACCUACCACCCUUUGUUUAUUACACUUUGUUGCUUUGGCAGGCCUGCCUUCGGGCUGCUGGCUCCGGCCGGCGAGCGCUUGCCAGAGGAUCUAAACUCUGUUUGUCUAUACUGUCUGAGUACUAUAUAAUAGUUAAAACUUUCAACAACGGAUCUCUUGGUUCUGGCAUCGAUGAAGAACGCAGCGAAAUGCGAUAAGUAAUGUGAAUUGCAGAAUUCAGUGAAUCAUCGAAUCUUUGAACGCACAUUGCGCCCCCUGGUAUUCCGGGGGGCAUGCCUGUCCGAGCGUCAUUACAACCCUCAAGCUCUGCUUGGUGUUGGGCCCCGCCGCCCCGGCGGGCCCUAAAGUCAGUGGCGGUGCCAUCCGGCUCCGAGCGUAGUAAUUCUUCUCGCUCUGGAGGUCCGGUUGUGUGCUUGCCAUCAACCCCCAAUUUUUUUCAGGUUGACCUCGGAUCAGGUAGGGAUACCCGCUGAACUUAAGCAUAUCAAUAAGCGGAGGAAAAGAAACCAACAGGGAUUACCUCAGUAACGGCGAGUGAAGCGGUAACAGCUCAAAUUUGAAAUCUGGGCCUCACGGUCCGAGUUGUAAUUUGUAGAGGAUGCUUCGAGCAUGGUCUGGCCUAAGUUCCUUGGAACAGGACGUCAUAGAGGGUGAGAAUCUCGUAUGCGGCCAGGUGCCUACGCUCAUGUGAAGCUCCUUCGACGAGUCGAGUUGUUUGGGAAUGCAGCUCAAAAUGGGUGGUAAAUUUC